rnacentral:tRNA from 1 species
GAGGGUAUAGCUCAGUGGUAGAGCGCAUGCUCAACACGCAUGAGGCCCUGAGUUCAAUUCCCAGUACCUCCU